CCCUAGUAACGGCGAGUGAAGCGGCAACAGCUCAAAUUUGAAAUCUGGCCCUUCUGGGGUCCGAGUUGUAAUUUGUAGAGGGUGCUUUGGCGUUGGCCUCGGCCUAAGUGCCUUGGAACAGGACGUCACAGAGGGUGAGAACCCCGUACGUGGCCGGUGGUCUUCGCCGUGUAAAGCCCCUUCGACGAGUCGAGUUGUUUGGGAAUGCAGCUCUAAAUGGGAGGUAAAUUUCUUCUAAAGCUAAAUACUGGCCAGAGACCGAUAGCGCACAAGUAGAGUGAUCGAAAGAUGAAAAGCACUUUGGAAAGAGAGUCAAAAAGCACGUGAAAUUGUUGAAAGGGAAGCGCUUGCAGCCAGACUUGCCUACAGUUGCUCAUCUGGGCUCCCGCCCGGUGCACUCUUCUGUUGGCAGGCCAGCAUCAGUCCAGGCGGUCGGAUAAAGGCUCUGGGAAUGUGGCUCUCUUCGGGGAGUGUUAUAGCCCAGGGUGCAAUGCGGCCAGCUUGGACUGAGGUCCGCGCAUCUGCUAGGAUGCUGGCGUAAUGGCUGUAAGCGGCCCGUCUUGAAACACGGACCAAGGAGUCUAACAUCUAUGCGAGUGUUUGGGUGUCAAGCCCGGGCGCGCAAUGAAAGUGAACGGAGGUGGGAACCCCUCGGGGCGCACCAUCGACCGAUCCUGAUGUCUUCGGAUGGAUUUGAGUAAGAGCAUAGCUGUUGGGACCCGAAAGAUGGUGAACUAUGCCUGAAUAGGGUGAAGCCAGAGGAAACUCUGGUGGAGGCUCGCAGCGGUUCUGACGUGCAAAUCGAUCGUCAAAUUUGGGCAUAGGGGCGAAAGAC
rnacentral:rRNA from 1 species